UGCUGUCUUUUUCUCUCCAGCCUUUGGCCCUUCUUAUCAGGAUGAAAACGCUUCUGUUUGGUGUCUGGACCCUGCUGGCCUUGAUCCUUUGCCCAGGGGUCCCGGAAGAGUUGUUUGAGGUUUCUAUUUGGCCAAGUCAGGCCCUGGUGGAGUUUGGACAGUCCCUAGUGGUCAACUGCAGCACUACUUGCCCAGACCCAGGACCCAGUGGAAUUGAGACCUUCUUAAAGAAAACUCAGGUGGGCAAAGGGCCUCAGUGGAAAGAGUUUCUUCUGGAGGAUGUCACAGAGAAUUCCAUCCUGCAGUGCUUCUUCUCUUGUGCAGGGAUUCAAAAGGACACAAGCCUUGGCAUCACUGUGUAUUAGCCACCAGAGCAAGUGAUCCUGGAGCUGCAGCCUGCCUGGGUGGCUGUGGACGAAGCCUUCACAGUGAAGUGUCAUGUACCCAGUGUAGCACCCUUGGAGAGUCUCACCCUUGCCCUUCUCCAGGGUAACCAAGAACUGCAUAGAAAGAACUUUACGAGCUUGGCUGUGGCCUCCCAAAGAGCUGAAGUCAUCAUCAGUGUCAGAGCCCAAAAGGAGAAUGACAGAUGCAAUUCUUCCUGCCAUGCAGAACUGGACUUGAGUUUGCAAGGUGGGAGGCUCUUUCAAGGCAGCUCACCCAUCAGAAUAGUCCGGAUCUUUGAAUUCUCUCAGAGUCCCCACAUCUGGGUCUCUUCCCUUUUGGAGGCUGGGAUGGCGGAGACUGUGAGCUGCGAGGUGGCUAGGGUGUUUCCAGCCAAAGAAGUUAUGUUCCACAUGUUCCUGGAAGACCAAGAGCUGAGCUCCUUCCUUUCCUGGGAGGGGGACACAGCAUGGGCCAAUGCUACCAUUCGGACCAUGGAGGCUGGUGAUCAGGAACUGUCUUGCUUUGCAUCUCUGGGUGCAAUGGAACAGAAGACAAGAAAGCUAGUGCAUAGCUACAAUAAGUGGCCUGGCUCUUCCUUUUUCAUACGGGUUCUCUGCUGCUGAAAACACAGAGUAACGGGUUGGUGAUUCGGCUGUAGACAUCCCUGCUGCCCUUUGCUGGGUAUGCUCUCAAGUGAACAUGAGUCUUCAUCUUUCUCUGGCUUCCCUCCACCAAUCCUGGAGCUAAAAGAAUCAUACCCAUUGGCAGGGACCGACAUUAAUGUGACCUGCUCAGGGCAUGUAUUAACAUCACCCAGCCCUACUCUUCGGCUUCAGGGAGCCCCAGACCUCCCUGCUGGGGAGCCUGCCUGGCUUCUACUUACUGCCAGGGAGGAAGAUGAUGGCUGAAAUUUCUCCUGCGAGGCCUCUUUGGUGGUGCAGGGUCAGCGGUUGAUGAAAACCACUGUGAUCCAGCUCCAUAUCCUAUGCAAGCCACAGUUAGAGGAAUCCAGUUGCCCUGGCAAACAGACCUGGCUGGAAGGGAUGGAACACACGCUCGCCUGCGUCCCAAAGGGAAACCCAGCUCCAGCCUUGGUGUGUACCUGGAAUGGGGUGGUCUUUGACCUUGAAGUGCCACAGAAGGCAACCUAGAACCACACUGGAACCUACCGCUACACAGCCACUAACCAGCUGGGCUCUGUCAGCAAAGACAUUGCUGUCAUUGUUCAAGGACUGGAUGAAGGAAUAAGCUCUACCCUCUUUGUCAUUAUUACCGUUGCCCUUGGAGUGGGUGUCAUCACCAUAGCACUGUAUUUGAGCUAUCGGCCCUGCAAAGUGGACAGGAGGAAAUUGCUCUAUAGGCAGAAAGAGGAGGACAAAGAGGAGGAAAGCCAGUUUGCUGUUCAGGAAGAGAAAAGUACAACUCAUAUAAUUGACAACUGUUUGAUUGAAUGAGACUUCUGCUACUGUGGUUUCCCAGGGAGGGAAGAAGGGAUAGAGGAGAAAGGAAGA
ensembl:lncRNA TCAM1P testicular cell adhesion molecule 1, pseudogene